UUUGAAGGUCAGAAAUAGCGUCCAUUUCCCCAUUUUAUUUUUCCUGGAUCAGAUCAUUAUGUGAACAAAUCUUAAGAAAGUUUUCUUUCAUACAUAGCUUACAAAACACCAAGAUUUUCUAAUACAGGAAGGAAAAAAAGCAAACAAAAUUCAAGUACCACUUUGCACAACAUUAACAGUUGAAGAAUUGCUAUUCAAGAAAGUGUGUCAAACAUUAACAACAAACUCAAGCUACUUUCAGCCACAAAAACAGAAAAUAUAACAGUUCAGUUUAAGGCAAAGGGAAUGUGUAGUCAUGGUCCAUAGCCAGACAUUUCAGCAGAUCAGCAGAAUUAAGAAUUUUAAAAAUUAAGGAACAUUAAGUUACUUGUACAUUGGUCAAUGAAUAUGCGAUUUAUUAGCACUUUUACCUUCCUUUUUUGUAGGAUGAUUUUAAACUUGAUCCAACACUGAACAUCAAUUGGGAGUAAUUACUAUCUUUGUCUUUUAAAUCCAGAAAGGUAUGUUAG
rnacentral:lncRNA from 1 species